GAUGAACGCUGGCGGCGUGCCUAAUACAUGCAAGUCGAGCGAACAGACGAGGAGCUUGCUCCUCUGACGUUAGCGGCGGACGGGUGAGUAACACGUGGAUAACCUACCUAUAAGACUGGGAUAACUUUGGGAAACCGGAGCUAAUACCGGAUAAUAUAUUGAACCGCAUGGUUCAAUAGUGAAAGACGGCUUUGCUGUCACUUAUAGAUGGAUCCGCGCCGCAUUAGCUAGUUGGUAAGGUAACGGCUUACCAAGGCAACGAUGCGUAGCCGACCUGAGAGGGUGAUCGGCCACACUGGAACUGAGACACGGUCCAGACUCCUACGGGAGGCAGCAGUAGGGAAUCUUCCGCAAUGGGCGAAAGCCUGACGGGGCAACGCCGCGUGAGUGAUGAAGGUCUUCGGAUCGUAAAACUCUGUUAUUAGGGAAGAACAAAUGUGUAAGUAACUAUGCACGUCUUGACGGUACCUAAUCAGAAAGCCACGGCUAACUACGUG
rnacentral:rRNA from 1 species